rnacentral:rRNA from 1 species
UAUGUGAUCGUCUCUCGCAUAUCAAUAAGCGGAGGAAAAGAAACUAACAAGGAUUCCCCUAGUAACGGCGAGUGAAGCGGGAAGAGCUCAAAUUUGAAAUCUUAAAGGGUUUCCCUUUACGAAUUGUAGUUUAAAGAAGUGUUUUCUGUUGAGGUUUUGGUAAAAGUUCUUUGGAAUAGGACAUCAUAGAGGGUGAGAAUCCCGUAUUUGACCUUUACUUUCAACUUUGUGAUACACUUUCAAAGAGUCGGAUUGUUUGGGAAUGCAGUCCAAAAUGGGUGGUCAAAUUUCAUCUAAAGCUAAAUAUUGGCGAGAGACCGAUAGCGAACAAGUACCGUGAGGGAAAGAUGAAAAGAACUUUGAAAAGAGAGUUAAACAGUACGUGAAAUUGUCAAAAGGGAAGCGUUUGACACCAGUGUUGUUUUUCUGAAAAUCAAUUAAAGAACUGUUUAUGCUAAGCUGUUUAGACUUUAUCAGCUAAUCUGUUUAGUUUUGAGCUUUUCUUUAAUGCACUUUUCAGUUAACAAGUCAACAUCAAUUUCUUUUGCUGUAAAAAAGCUUGAGGAAGGUGGCUUGAGAUUCGUCUUAAGUGCUUAUAGCCUCUUGCCUAUGCAGUCGGAGAGAUUGAGGUCUGCAGCGUAGAUCCUUCGGGGCUAAAUGCAUUUGUGCUAAGUUAUAGCAUUUCAUAGACAACUUGUUGACUAUGAUUUGUCUUGUAGCUUACUCGCUUAUGUUAUUUUACCUACGCUUAGGAUGUUGAUAUGCAUGACUGAUAU